GACGAACGCUGGCGGCGUGCUUAACACAUGCAAGUCGAACGGAAAGGCCCUGCUUUUGUGGGGUGCUCGAGUGGCGAACGGGUGAGUAACACGUGAGUAACCUGCCCUUGACUUUGUGAUAACUUCAGGAAACUGGGGCUAAUACCGGAUAGGAGCUCCUGCUGCAUGGUGGGGGUUGGAAAGUUUCGGCGGUUGGGGAUGGACUCGCGGCUUAUCAGCUUGUUGGUGGGGUAGUGGCUUACCAAGGCUUUGACGGGUAGCCGGCCUGAGAGGGUGACCGGCCACAUUGGGACUGAGAUACGGCCCAGACUCCUACGGGAGGCAGCAGUGGGGAAUAUUGCACAAUGGGCGGAAGCAUGAUGCAGCAACGCCGCGUGCGGGAUGACGGCCUUCGGGUUGUAAACCGCUUUCGCCUGUGACGAAGCGUGAGUGACGGUAAUGGGUAAAGAAGCACCGGCUAACUACGUG
rnacentral:rRNA from 1 species